AGCGAACGCUGGCGGCAGGCCUAACACAUGCAAGUCGAGCGCCCAGCAAUGGGAGCGGCAGACGGGAUAGUAACACGUGGGAACGUACCCUUCAGUUCGGAACAACCCAGGGAAACUUGGGCUAAUACCGAAUACGUCCGUAAGGAGAAAGAUUUAUCGCUGAAGGAUCGGCCCGCGUCUGAUUAGCUAGUUGGUGAGGUAACGGCUCACCAAGGCGACGAUCAGUAGCUGGCUGAGAGGAUGAUCAGCAUCACUGGGACUGAGACACGGCCCAGACUCCUACGGGAGGCAGCAGUGGGGAAUAUUGGACAAUGGGCGCAAGCCUGAUCCAGCCAUGCCGCGUGGAUGAUGAAGGCCCUAGGGUUGUAAAGUCCUUUCGACGGGGAAGAUAAUGACGGUACCCGUAGAAGAAGCCCCGGCUAACUUCGUGCCAGCCGCCGCCGU
rnacentral:rRNA from 1 species